GGGCGCGUAGCUCAGGGGUAGAGCGUCGCCCUUACAAGGCGAAUGUCGGCGGUUCGAAACCGUCCGCGCCCACC
rnacentral:tRNA from 5 species